CCCAGAAAUAUUUUCUUACUUUCAAGAUUGGUGUUCUUAUACCAAGAUCAAAUUUCUUAUAUCAAGAAUAGCUUUCUUUCAUCAAGAGCACACUUCUUAUUGCCAGAAAUAUGUUCUUAAUUGUUCAUACAACAAGAGUAACUUUCUUAAAUCAAAAGUACACUUCUUAUUGCCUAAAGAUAUUCUCUUACAUCUGAGAUUAAUAUACUCUUAUACACCAACACCAAAUUUCGGACAGCUAGCCGACCUACGGGUACUACUUUGCUGUGCUAAUAUUGAAGUUUUUGUAUUAGCAACAUCUUGCUAUCUUUAAGUUCAAGACUGAAUUUCUCACACCUAGAAACAUAGAAACCAUUUCUUAAAGUAAGAUUAAGGUUCUUGUAUCACGAACUGGUCAAUGUUGCUGUUUAUAUAGUUGUAAAUAUAUUUCCAAUCAUACUCAUUUCCAUCAAUAAGUUUCAUACCAGAUUUUGGGGCAUUUUUUUCUAUGAACCAUUAUUUUAAAGAUUGCAACAUUAUUGCAGAUACCAACAGAUUUAGACUAUAUAUGAUGCUUGCUUGUAAAUAUCAUUUUCCUGAUACUGAGCAUACUAAUAACUUAAUUAUUGUCCUUCUAAAACAGCACCAUUACUGCUGUAAUGUUGUUGGUGUCUUGGUGAUGGUAUCAUAAUCAUAAUACAUGUCACUUGUUCUUGUUGAAAGCUUUUCCAAAGUUGAGAUGGGGGCAUCCUCUUUGGUCCAACUGGUUUCCACGCCUAAAACACAGGCAGUUUAUGAACAAACAAUUCCCUAAUAAAUGCCCCCCUCCCCCAUAAGGAUUUUGGACAUCGACAUCUCUAUACUUUUCCUUCCUUAAAAAUAUCAUACUUACGUCAUAGUGUUUUGGAGGAAUGCAUGCAAGUGUUCACUUCUACAUUCUGCAAUUACUGGUCGCCUUAUCAUGCAUAUGCAACCAAAGAAAAUGUGAAAUUAAAAUACUUUGAAAACCAAGAUGGCUGACGUACCUGAAUAGAUAAUGUUCCAAUCUUGACUUCUGCUUUGGUUGCACUUUGGAGCUUAGAAAUGCAAGGCCACAUUGUAAUCAGGGUCCCAGGUGAUGCAGGAAAGUGUCCUAAAGAAAUCUACCAUAUCUGUGCCCUGUAUUUGUAAGAUCUAAUGCACAUCAGACAAAUAAACCUGGAGAGGCAGUUUGCAUGCAAGCUGCAACUGUCUAGAAUUUGAAA